rnacentral:rRNA from 1 species
UACAGAGGGGGCAAGCGUUAUUCGGAAUUAUUGGGCGUAAAGGGCGCGUAGGCGGCUUGGCAAGUGGAUGGUGAAAUCCCUCGGCUUAACCGAGGAACGGCCGUCCAAACUGCUUCGCUUGAGACCGGGAGAGGUGAGUGGAAUUCCCAGUGUAGCGGUGAAAUGCGUGAGAUAGUUGGAGGAACACCAGUGGCGAAGGCGGCUCACUGGACCGGUACUGACGCUGAAGCGCGAAAGCGUGGGGAGCGAACAGG